rnacentral:tmRNA from 1 species
GCUCAAUAGGCUAUGGUGAUAAACGUAACUUAUAAUGGGUAUUUUGGACUCGGGGGCGGUACCCGGCACCUCCACCA